rnacentral:misc_RNA from 1 species
GAAAUGCGAUAAGUAAUGUGAAUUGCAGAAUUCAGUGAAUCAUCGAAUCUUUGAACGCACAUUGCGCCCGCCAGUAUUCUGGCGGGCAUGCCUGUUCGAGCGUCAUUACAACCCUCAGGCCCCCGGGCCUGGCGUUGGGGAUCGGCGGAGCCCUCCGCGGGCACACGCCGUCCCCCAAAUACAGUGGCGGUCCCGCCGCAGCUUCCAUUGCGUAGUAGCUAACACCUCGCAACUGGAGAGCGGCGCGGCCACGCCGUAAAACCCCCAACUUCUGAACAUUGACCUCGAAUCAGGUAGGAAUACCCGCUGGACUUAA